GGCUGGUCCGAAGGCAGUGAGUAUCUCAGUUGAUUUUUCAGUCAGUUACAGACCAAACUGCUUGUUCUACUUCUUCACCUUCUCAUUACUGUACUUCACCAAUCUUAA
ensembl:Y_RNA Y_RNA Y RNA